rnacentral:rRNA from 1 species
UCCUACGGGAGGCAGCAGUGGGGAAUAUUGCACAAUGGGGGAAACCCUGAUGCAGCCAUGCCGCGUGUGUGAAGAAGGCCUUCGGGUUGUAAAGCACUUUCAGUAGGGAGGAAGGUAGUGUAGUUAACACCUGCAUUAUUUGACGUUACCUACAGAAGAAGCACCGGCUAACUCCGUGCCAGCAGCCGCGGUAAUACGGAGGGUGCGAGCGUUAAUCGGAAUUACUGGGCGUAAAGCGCAUGCAGGCGGCCUGUUAAGUCAGAUGUGAAAGCCCGGGGCUUAACCUCGGAACUGCAUUUGAAACUGGCAGGCUAGAGUCUUGUAGAGGGGGGUAGAAUUUCAGGUGUAGCGGUGAAAUGCGUAGAGAUCUGAAGGAAUACCAGUAGCGAAGGCGGCCCCCUGGACAAAGACUGACGCUCAGAUGCGAAAGCGUGGGGAGCAAACAGGAUUAGAUACCCUGGUAGUCCACGCCGUAAACGAUGUCUACUUGGAGGUUGUGGCCUUGAGCCGUGGCUUUCGGAGCUAACGCGUUAAGUAGACCGCCUGGGGAGUACGGUCGCAAGAUUAAAACUCAAAUGAAUUGACGGA